CCCGCUGAACUUAAGCAUAUCAAUAAGCGGAGGAAAAGAAACUAACAAGGAUUCCCUUAGUAACUGCGAGUGAAGUGGGAAAAGCUCAAAUUUAGAAUCUGGCAGUCACUUGGCUGUCCGAGUUGUAAUCUAGAGAAGUGUUGCCCGUGCUGGACCAUGUACAAGUCUCCUGGAAUGGAGCAUCACAGAGGGUGAGAAUCCCGUCUUUGACACGGACUACCAGGGCUUAUGUGAUGUGCUCUCAAAGAGUCGAGUUGUUUGGGAAUGCAGCUCUAAAUGGGUGGUAAAUUCCAUCUAAAGCUAAAUAUUGGCGAGAGACCGAUAGCGAACAAGUACCGUGAGGGAAAGAUGAAAAGAACUUUGGAAAGAGAGUUAAACAGUACGUGAAAUUGUUGAAAGGGAAACGCUUGAAGUCAGUCGCGUUGCCCAGAAAUCAACCUUGCUUUUGCUUGGUGUACUUUCUGGUUAACGGGUCAGCAUCAAUUUUGACCGGUGGAUAAAGGUCAGGGGAAUGUGGCAUCUUCGGAUGUGUUAUAGCCCUUGGUUGCAUACAUCGAUUGGGAUUGAGGAACUCAGCAUGCCGCAAGGCCGGGUUUUUAACCACGUACAUGCUUAGGAUGCUGGCAUAAUGGCUUUAAUCGACCCGUCUUGAAACACGG
rnacentral:rRNA from 1 species